GGCUCAGUUGCGGAUGGUACGCGUCUGUCGUUAAUGUCUCUUAUGGAGCCAAGUAUCAUGUAAACAUCGAAAUCGCCUGUUCGACUCAGGCCCGAGCCG